rnacentral:lncRNA from 1 species
CUAAAUGUGAACACACACUUCUCUGCAAAAGUAGCCCUUUGCUAAUUGAAUCUAGUCGGUAUGGAAAAAAAGCCAGUAGAAAACCUUAUCUUUAACAAGCCCCCAGAUGGUGCCCAGAUUGGGAAACUCUUAAAAAGCAGUGGUGACCUUUUACCAAAGCUUCUGUAAUAGUUCAAAUGAGUUACAGAACAUUCCACUCCAUCAAAUGACACUCUAAACAAAUCACUUCAAGAGAGGUUUGACUUCACGUGACACAGACGGACGCGGCUCUCAUGCUGCGUGCUGGAGCAGAAACCCACCCACGCCCCCCGUGUUCUGGGGGCCCGGAUGCUCACAGCUUUUUAAAGGAUAAAGGCGAUCAGUGUGGAAAGCGUUUUAUGGAGGAAACUAUUACCCUAAUAGGUACAUCAGCUAAAAACUGGAUCCCAUGAUAAAGUUCCCCCUGAAUUUUUGUAAGGAGUCCUAUAAGCAGAAGGGGACAGGAAGUGGGUCCUGAAAAUGCAGUUGCUCCAUCCAAUGGCUGAUUUUGAUAACUCAAUUCCAACAGAGACUAAAUUUCAACUCAGUGAACCAGUGCAGCAUUCCUUGUGCAAAGAAAAUAUAUACUGUAUACAUAUGCCAAGAAAAGGAAGGCGCAGAGGUCUUUUCUCUUGAAAAUGUAUGUUUAAAUGAAGUUGAUCUUAGUUAAUUGUCCAAAAUGAAUCUUCAUCAAGAUGCCAGAGUGCUGAGUCAUUGAUUACAUUCUCCAACAUGAGAUCAAGAACCUAGCUCUGU